AUGUUUUUAUUUAUUUUUGCUCUAUCAUGAAUCAUUGAGUUUAAAUUACAAAAAAAUUGUGUAGUUGAGCCAUAUUUUUUAUGGGGUAUCGUUUGUAGUAGCUAUAGGCUUGUCGACGUUAAGUUUUUCAAUCAUGGCGGAAAAAAUUUAGGCUCGGGGCUUGCUUCAAUUCUGCCUCCACCAUUGACCAUGAGCAGCCUAAACGAUGCAGCAACCCUUUUUCAAAUGAAUAAAGCUCGCCGUAGGCUUUUUCUUUAGAAAAAAAAAGAAAGGACAAAAUUCAGCAGCAUAGCUGUAUAUAUCCUACAACUGCAGUUCCGUCUCUUCUCUCCACGCCUCGCCUCGCCUCGCCUCUCCCCUCUUCGGAGUUCAGACCCCUGCCGGCCUGCCUGUGUCACACGAACCUCUAGAACCCCACGCAAGCACUUCUCAGCUGUGUGCCUCGAUCCGAAUGGAGACGGGAAGUAGCGGCGGCCGGAGGCUGCCGAAGACGGAGUCGGCGGAGAUGCGGUGGGUGGUCUCCGGCGGCGCUUCUGAAGAUGAUGAGAUCGAUAGCUCGGACGACGGUGACGGCGGGANNNNN
rnacentral:lncRNA from 1 species